rnacentral:rRNA from 1 species
UACUGAGGCGGCUAGCGUUGUUCGGAAUUACUGGGCGUAAAGCGCGCGUAGGCGGACCUGCAAGUCGGGGGUGAAAGCCCGAGGCUCAACCUCGGAACUGCCUUCGAUACUGCGGGUCUCGAGUCCGGGAGAGGUGAGUGGAAUUCCUAGUGUAGAGGUGAAAUUCGUAGAUAUUAGGAAGAGCACCAGUGGCGAAGGCGGCUCACUGGCCCGGUACUGACGCUGAGGCGCGAAAGCGUGGGGAGCAAACAGG